UGAGCGCGCGCCGGGCCGACAUAACGGCGCGACUGCCGACGACGCGCGCACGUACCGCCCACCUGCGCACGCGACGCGAGUGAAACACGCGUGUGAACAUAUACUUACGAUAAAAGUGACUGUGCCAGUGAAUGCUCCUGCUUACCCAACUCUUUGAGGUUCUGAUAGACCAGUGAUUGGAAGGUGGUCACCUGCCAUCAUCUUUAGGUGUUUUUCUUUGGGAUUGAACAGAGCAGAACAAUACACUGUGCUGAGCAUCAGGUUACAGCCUCCACGCACUCCUCUACGUGACCGAACCACGAGUCGUUAAAGAUGUGUGUGUAACAGCGGCGCGGCAUGGGCCAGGCCGGCAGCCACGCGCCGCCGCCGCAGCGCGGGCGCCGCGCGCACACGCUGCCGCACGACCCGCCCCGGCUCGCGCCUAAGGUGCUACCCACUCUAUGCGAGUCGCCGCGCCUGCGCAGCACGGACAACGGUGCGAUCCUGCACUCGGGCGGCACCAUCAGCGGGAGGAGACCCAACACUAUACACGAAAAUGUGCCACACGGACAUGUGCACGCGAACGUUUACCGAUCGCGGUCAGCUGGCACCUCGGGAGACGGCAGCGAGAUACGGUCCAGGGAGCGAGACCCGCUGCACCGGUCGCACACCAACCUCGAGCUACGACAUGAUAGCAGCAGCAUAAACAAACGAUUUGGAUCUGAACCAGAUCUAAGAAUAGAAGAAGAACAGAAAACGAGAAAUGGAAACAAACACUUCCGGAAAAAAUACAGAGCACCCCCUCCUCCCACCAAUGACAACUUCGAAGGUUCGUCGCCUGAUUCCAGCGAAGGAAACACUAGACCUGAACCCCAGAGGAAACUAAGACUGUUCAAAACUAGAAACGAAACCAAAAAACUGAACGGCCAAGACAAUUUACAGUUCAGAAAUUCAUAUCACGAAUACAAGUCACUCGAUAUGACCGAUAAUGCAGCUUUUGAACGAAGAUAUCGGUCGCCAUGUAAAGAUAAGGAACAACACUUCAAGUAUCCUGACAACCAGGACAUGGUGCAAAGCACUGCCUCACUUAAGAGAGAGGAACGACUCAUACAAACGAAACAAGACUACAGGAAGACGAGGAUAGACAGGAUGAGCGGAUGUCGGGCGAAGACGUCCAAGACCGAACAAAGCGAAGCGUGGAAGACGCCAUUACUAAACAGGAAUUUCAGGUACUCCGAGAGGUUCAAGAAAGAUGACAAUGAACUGCCCACGCUCAGAAGAGAGAGGACCUUCGAUGAAACUCUAAUGGCAAGUGAAAGAGAAAACGAAUCCUCUAGAGCGGUCCAUGAGAGCAGGAUGAAAGCCAUCGGCGAACAACUCCGGGGGAGCAAGGUGAGCCCCCUGGCGGAGACCAGCAAACCAUUGAGAAAAUCUCUUCCUUCACUAUUGUUAAAAAAUAAUGAAGAAAAAGAUGAAUUUCAAGCGGAACUCAAAAAGGCUACGAGUAGAAUUAGAAAUCAAUUAGGCAGUAAAAUUAAUGAUAGUAAAAUUAAUGAAACCAAAACUAGUCAAGAGAAGAAAGAGCAGAAGAGCCCAACGAAAAUACCGAAUAAAGUCAAAAAGUCUAGUCUAACAAGUGCUGCCACCAAGCCAGACGCUAAGGUCGUCAGUAGGAGGCCUCUAGGUCGAGCUAACGAGGAUAAAACUAGACAGACGAAUAACAACAUUCACGCCAAGAUAUCAGACAACAAAUACAAAGCGAGCAGCAAGGAGAACAGCCGCCCGAUGCCGGACAGAGGGCAGGCCUCCGGGAAGGAGUCCACGCCUGAACAUUCACCCACCAGGAAAUUGGACUCCUUGAUUAACCCACCUCAAGAAAAGACGAAACAACAAGCUCCAUCGAAGCAGUUUUACUUCGGUAUGAUAGAGAGCAAACAGACCAACACACAUGAACACCUGAAAGACUUCCCAGGACUAGGGAGCCCCAUCAUCGAGGAGAUCUCGAACUUCCACCUGAUAGAACAAAAACUGCUCAAUUAUCAUGAGGAAGACGCGGAAUUUGAUAAGUUUAAUGCCAAGAUCAAAGAGGAGACUAAAGUUAAGAAUUUAUCAUCGGAAUCUGCACUAUCUUCCGAGGGCUCGGAGGGCUCAUGUUCAGAAGGUUCAUUGGGUAUUGCGCUUCGCCUGCGACCCACACUGCCCAAAAAGCAGCGCGCUGUGCCAAGAUUCUCUCCUGCCGCAGCCUGGAGGCAGCUAGCAUCAUUAGAUGAUCAUCUCGCCGCAGAAACUCAACCGCUAGCUGUAGAAACAAAAAUGUCGGGCGACAUAUCGGCUGAGUCAUCACCACGAUCAGACCAGUCGGCUGACAAAUCCGGAGACUCCGGUAUCUCAGGCGACCAUGCGCAUUCUGAUCACAGGAUAGACUCACCAUCUAGACAUCAUGCGCAAGACUCAAGUCCGGCAGCGUGGACACCACAACAAGACCUUGGUGACAGCAGUUCGGAUGGAGCAGGUGGUGGAGUUGCCCUACUAGGCGCUGGCCUUGCCACCUACAGUCCGGGACACCAGCCCUUCAGCCUGUCACUGCCCAGGGACCAGCAGGACCGAUUUAAAGCGAUGUCGUGCUUCUACGAUUGCUUCCAGGGCAAACAGUUACAGCAAGGCUUCAACAGUCUUCAGAAGCUUCGGAAGUCGGUGUCUGGUGCCUUAGGAGCGGCUCUAGGAUCUAGAAGGUUCGACUUGGAACAUGAACCGAUGUUACAAGAGCCGGAACAGAACUGGUUCCUUACGAAGUCUGCGCCAAAUUCGCUGACCAAUCCACUGAUGUUCCAACAACCUGCAAGAGCGAAGGGUUCUGAAGAGGAUGCUAUUAAAGAGGAGUCCUUACCAGCUUCUGAUAAGGAGGAGCUCGGCACAUGGCGUCCUGGUAAUUCGUACCUAUCAUGGGGUGGUCACGUGAUGUACCUUCCACCUGCACCUGCCGCAGAACAGCCGCUGUCCAUCCUCGGACCCAUCGAUAGACCUGUCAGGAGCAAAUCCAGCGGUUGCCUGGAGGCGGGCGCACGGGCUGCGCGUGCGGCGCUGUGCGCGGAGAUGCGUGAGCGCGAGCGGUCUGCGUCACCUGAGGUACAGCGCGCACUGCCAGCUAGAGUACUGCCUACCAACACUCGCUCCUCAAACGCGACAGGCCGUGGCAAGCGGUUCACGUUCCAGUCGACGGUGAGACAGCUGGAGAGACGGCGGCUGGCUGAGAAGCUGUCCAAGGAGGCUGACCUCAAGGAGCAACAGAGAAGGACCGAGCUGGAGGCCAUGAGGAGAGUUGAGGAAGAGUUCCAGAGGAAGCGUGCGAGAGAGAAGGCGAACAUUCGGCAACAGUUGCGACUAGUCAGCAGCGGCGCCAACAGCAUGCCCACACACACCACACAUCACACCAAGCCUCGUGAUUCCCCUGACGGGUCGUGUCGCGAGUCUCCGGCGCCGGAGCGCUCCCGUGACUCUCAGAGACACAGCAAUGCCUCCUCCGAGAUCAGCGGUCGCAGCAAGAGUUCCACACCUAUUCGCAGCGUGGAGCUGUCAGCGUGGCGUACAAGUGGUGGAGCACGCGUAUACCGCGACUGGUCGGCUGCGCACGCGCAUCCCGCCGCCUGCGCACGCAUGCCCAUCGCAUCCCAACAACUUUACAAUGAGGGCUCAGGCUCUGCGUUCAGCGGUAGCCCGGUGUCGGACAACUAUCGGCGCGAGUUUGCGCGCGGGCGCAGCUCCGGCUCCCCACUAACGCCCCGCGCGCCCCGCCUACUGCCCGCCGCAGACCGGUCCACCUCCGGCUCUGAUCUAUCCCUGCGACACCCCAUCAAGAUCAGGUGGUGAUGUGUGGGAGUAGCGCUAUUACCUAACACUAACCCUGCGCGCGCGCAUACAAGUGAGCCGACCAAGGAGGAACCCGAACAAGAUGAGCCCGCCAUCGUGCCAACCCUGCGACCGGCCGGACCUGCCCGCACCGCUCUACUCACUCACUGACACUCACUCACACUGAGUUACCGACACUCAAGAGUCGACCACACUCACUCACGUGCUGACACUCUACUUAGAAUCAUUGAUUACUAAACAGCUCUGGAAUUAUGUCCUUGAUUGAAAAUGGAAGCAGUGAGCCUGAUAAAAGUUGUAAAAUGUAAAAUUCAAGGACUCUUAAUUAAGAACUUAAGCAUAAAGUUGUAUAUGAAGACCUGUAAUCUAUGUAAACUUCUAUUUAUUUACCUUAAAUACUUAUUAGGAGUUUGUUACCUGAUAUGUUAUUGGUUUGCCGUUAAGUACUCCACGAUGGCCAGGACACGUGCCAAUCCAAAAACGUAACAUAAUUGUAAUUACGAAGAGUAAAUAUUAAGAUACUAAUAACAUGAAAGUAAUCCUUUUUAUAAAUUAGUUUUGGAAGUCAUUAAAGCCGCGAGGCGAGCAAAUGUCCGGUGUGCUGUGGGAGCCGGAAUGGGUGUGUUAGCAAUCUGUAUGUUUGUUCGUCACGCGAGCCGCCGCUGCUGAAAUUUGGGUCGGCGACCAUGUAUUGUGCUAUUUUUGUUAUUUACCCUUUAGUUCUCUUUCUUGACCUGAGGCCGGCGAGGUCACACUGUCUAGUGUAUAGUUCAGGCUGCUUAUUUAAACUUGUACACCUGCUCUUUAAUAAAUCCUUUCUUUCAGGCAAGCUCGAAUAAAGCAGCCCGUGUGAUUCAUACUGUGAAACAAGUAAUGUUCUUUCUAACAAUUCACUUUGUUUUAUUGUUAUUUAAUCUGUUAAUAAUUAUACUUUCUACUAUGAUUCUACGUCGUCAAUUCUCCCAAAGGUUCCAUUAACAAUUGUAAUGUUUAGUACUUACUUCCAAAUAUAAUUAUUUUAACGAACACAGUAUUGUGAAGUUAUUGACUCCGAAGAGUGCUUUAAUUCGCAUCUGUUAUGUACUUAAGCUAUGUAAAACUUUGUAUUGUAUUUAAUCAAGAAUAGAUUUACUUGUUAAACCUGUUUACACAAAACGAAAGGGGAUUUUACAAAGAAGAAAUGAUUGUUGGUCAUAUUAGAGAGUUUUUCUUUUUGUGUAAGCAGUAUAUAACUAGUUUUAAAACUUAAUGUUAAUGUCUUCCAAUGUAAGCUAAAUACUGAAGCUUUAAUAUAGACUUAACUCUAGACUUAUGUACUUAGUGGUGCUAUUUACUGUCAGAAUGUAGCGAGGAUGCUGCUAUACCAGCAUCAGGCGCUACACUGACAUAUAUACUGAUAGGUGCUAAAAUAUAUCGAAUUUUGUAUACUUAUCAACUUAAACUGGCAUAUUUAUUCCAAUUCUCUACCAAAAAAUGUUAUAUCACCCGUACGCAAGCAUUUUGUCAGCUAAUACCAGUCGUGAUGGGACUCCUGCCAUUUCCAUUGUGUCCCAUAAUUGAUACUUCCCCUCAAAGUAACCUUUGUGACAGGUCGUGGCUCGAUCAAUCAUUCGCUAUAUAGUGUUCCGGGUCGCUCGGACCGAGGUGCGGCGUGACCGGGUUAGGCGUGAAACCUUACUCAAACUCACUGAUCGAUUGUCGCAACACUACUUUAUGACGUGAAAAACAAUAAUGGGCGGUUUUUAUUAUAAUAAUGUUAUACUAUUAGGCUACCAACAACUAUGUGAAAUCAUUAUAGAGUGUUAAAGUCAGAGUUAAAUUAAUUUGAGGGAUUUAUUCGUAGACUGUAACCACUUUUUUUAUAAAGUAGUGUAUGGUGCUAUGAUGCGAGCGUGUUAAGUCUGCUGGUCAAUUACGCGUAUGGAUGAACAAUCUAUUUGCUCAAUAAUAAAAGAAGGAAAAUGCAUGAUGAAUAAAUUAGUUGAAAUACUUAUACUCCCAUAAAUAUAUAAGUUAAUUCAUUUAUAUUUAUCAUACAGCUCCACAUACGUAAUGAAAUAUAAAUUAGUAUGUUUAUUCAUUUUGUUAUCAUAAAGUUAAUAUAACAGUAAAAUAAACAAGAAGUAUUUUAUAUAUAAGAUUAAUUAAAAAUAAAAUAAAUCUAAUAUAAAACGGCUCAAUUGUAUAUAACUUUAUGAAUAAUCAUUAAUUAAUAUAUUAUUCAUAUUAAUUUUGUUACUUUUAUUGAAUAUGUACUCUGGAUUUAUUGGUAGCAUUUUAUAUAAUUAUAAAAGAAUAUAUAAAUCAGUUAUUGUUUUCGCAUUGUCGUGUUUAUGCUACAAUAUGGAAAAGCUAUGAUUAUAUGAAGUAUAUUAUAGAAUGUUACUGUAAAAUCCAUGUGGUUUAGACUUAAAACUUGUAAUAUAAGUAACAAUAUGAGAUAACGUCUGUAUAUAACACGUAAGGUAAAGUUCGGUGCAUGUAUAUAGUGUUUACAAACCGUUUAUAUUACGAGUAAAGAUUUGUAUAACAAUUUA